AAAGGAAGUGGCUUAAUGACCCUGAAGGGAUUUCUCCCGGUGAUAGCUUUUAUAUUAUCAAGUAAGAGAUUCCAUCUCAGUAUAAGCAAGUUUUUUCCUAGUGUAGGAGAAAUGCUUUUCCUUUGUGACAAGAUGUGAAGACUUUUUUCAGAUAACACCAUCUGAAUCAUAACCAGCCUGGCAGUAUGAUGACGUAGAUGCAGAGGGAACAGCUCCUUGGUGAAUGAUAAGUAAAGGCAGAAAGGAUAAUGUCAUAUCUCCAUUGGGGAAUGAGCAUGAGCCCAAGAUUCUUACUACUGAUGAAAAUGCCUCCAUAUGCAAAAAAUUAAGCAAAUGAAAUCAACCAAUAUAAAGUUAUGGAAUCUACCAUGUUUAAAAGUUAAUGGCUUAUCAAGCUUUAUCCACAAAAGUAAAGAAUUGAUGGGAAACAAUGAAGAUAAAUGUCCAUCUCAAAACACUGCUUUUACAAAAGCAGAAUAAAAAUGAAAUGAAAUGAAAAUGCUACAUUAAUCCUGGAGUAAAAAAGAAGCUGAAAUGAUUGAUAUGAGUGGGAUCAAAUGGAUUGAGAGGAGGCUGUGCAGUGUGCCAAUCUUUCAUUUGCCUCAGACAGGUUUCUCUUCAUAAUCAGAAGAGUUGCUUCAUUUCAUCUCGGAGCAGGAAACAGCAGACUGCUGUUAACAGAUAAGUUUAACUUGAUCUGCAGUAUUGCAUGUUAGGGAUAAGUGCUUAUUUUUUGUAAGAGAUCUGGAGGUACUGAAUAUGUCAUUUGCCUGACCCCUUCUUUAGGGGAUUUCAGGACUGAGCAGUUUUCCCAUCCAGCCUUUUAGAAAUUCUAGGCCUUGUGCAUUGGGCUUUCAUGAUGGGAUAGUAGGUAACAGGCUUUUGCAUCCUAAGUAAUUUCAUCACAAAAGCCUUAUAUAUAGUUAGUGCCUGCUUUAAAUACAUUGCUGACAGAACUAAGGAUUUGAAUCUCUGAAGACACUGAAAGGGAUGUAACCUUGUGUGCUGACAGUCAGAUAAGUUCAUCUUGCUAAAAUUUAAAUGUGCUUAAUGUACUUGUGCUUAAAACCAUUAAAUCAUACAGAUAAAUAAAAUAUUUCACUAGGGUAUGUAUGCAUUUAGAAAGCUGUCUUCCUUAUUUAAAUAAAGUACUUUUUUGUCUGUAGUUAGUGUUGGGCAAUCUUGGGGGGAUGUUCUUCUCUAAUCUUUCAGAAACUUUGUCUUCGAACACUUAAACGGACAAGAUCAGGACUUGAGCAGAAGACCGAACUUAACUUUAAGGCAGGAAAGACAAAUUUUAUUCUCCAUACAGUGAAUCAGCAUUUAUAAUCCCAUGUGUGGCAUAGAGGCCCUGCCCUCUAAAUAAGGAAUAAGUACCUUAGACAGGUGGGAGAUAAUGGUCAGAGUAAAAGGUAACUACAUAUUUUGUUUCCAGAAAGUCAGGGGUCUAAUUUGACAAUGGCUAAACAUCUAGGGUAAGAUAACUUUUCCACACUUCCAAAUUUGCAUGUUAAAUGCUUAUGACCAUUUCAUCCACUGUUAAGCCUUUUCUCACCUCACUUGAGCCAGAAUUUGGGCGGGCAUGUGGGUUUUUAAAGAAUUUUCCUUUGCAGAGGCUUCAUUUCAUCCUUCAUGAAGCUGCUCAGGACUCUGACUUGCAUAUGAGUGCUUGGCUCUUCUGUUCUGCUAGUGAGUGUGUGAGA